rnacentral:lncRNA from 1 species
CACAAUUGAAAGUGGGUAGUCGCUGCAGAAUCGAUGGAUUCAGUGUUCAGACUUCAGACACACAGAAGACCUCAGUAUGCAUGACCAAAACACUCGGUUCAUGGCAAGUCAAGAGCAGUCUUUAAUCACUGGAAUAUUUGGCAUCCAUUGCAUCUACGGUCUCCCUUUCCUGUGGGCUCAGAAGAGGAUGCCACUGCCUCUUUGGAGGCUGCGCGUGACCUGGAAAAUCCAAAAGAAAAACCGUAGUAGCCAGACAGUCAGAGGCCGGGUAGGCAGGUUAAGAACUGACUGUCGCCAAAUCCAACGCAUGGUAUGAGGUUGUCCUCGUUAAAUCGUGCGAGGGUUCUCCACGACCCCAUGACCACUCCUCCCUGAUCGACGAGGAGAGCGUCUCUCCUCCCAACUCCCUGAAGAUCGAAUCACAGCAGAUACAAAUAACCGGCGGGACCGGGAACAACAGGAAAGAAUCGAUCUUUGGAGAAGGCGAUGCUUGGAGGAUGGGAGCGAGACCGGGAACAACAGAAUUUCGUCGGUAGGUAAAGUACCUGGAAUUCUGGAAACCGACUCGCAAGAACAAGUGAGGUCGAACCGCCUAAACAAACCCGGAGACGGAGACGGAGGCCGAGCAGUCGAGCACCAAACAAACCCGGCGGCGGCGGG